CUCACAAUCGCCGUGUUAAUCAGCCUAACACAUGCAAGUCGAACGGUACAGGAAGCAGCUUGCUGCUUCGCUGACGAGUGGCGGACGGGUGAGUAAUGUCUGGGAAACUGCCUGAUGGAGUGGGGAUAACUACUGGAAACGGUACUAAUACCGCAUAACGUCGCAAUGACCAAAUGAGUGGGUGACCUUCGGGCCUCUUGCCAUCGUGAUGUGCCCAGAUGGGAUUAGCUAGUAAGGUGGGGGUAACGGCUUCACCUAANGCGACGAUCCCUAACUUGGUCUUGAAAAAGGAUUAACCCAGCCA
rnacentral:rRNA from 1 species